rnacentral:rRNA from 1 species
GACAGAGGUGCCGAGCGUUAGGCGGAAUCACUGGGCUUAAAGCGUGUGUAGGCGGACUUCUAAGUGCCUUGUGAAAUCCCACGGCUCACCCGUGGAACUGCUGGGCAUACUGGGAGUCUUGAGCCACUUAGGGGCAACUGGAACAAACGGUGGAGCGGUGAAAUGCGUAGAUAUCAAGAGGAACACCUGCGGCGAAGGCGGGUUGCUGGGCCGACACUGACGCUGAGGCGCGAAAGCGUGGGGAGCGAACAGG